rnacentral:rRNA from 1 species
AAAUUGAAGAGUUUGAUCAUGGCUCAGAUUGAACGCUGGCGGCAGGCCUAACACAUGCAAGUCGAGCGGCAGCGGAAAGUAGCUUGCUACUUUGCCGGCGAGCGGCGGACGGGUGAGUAAUGUCUGGGAAACUGCCUGAUGGAGGGGGAUAACUACUGGAAACGGUAGCUAAUACCGCAUGACCUCGAAAGAGCAAAGUGGGGGACCUUCGGGCCUCACGCCAUCGGAUGUGCCCAGAUGGGAUUAGCUAGUAGGUG